rnacentral:pre_miRNA from 2 species
GAUAUACUCCCUCCGUCCGGAAAUACUUGUCGGAGAAAUGAAUGUAUCUAAACAUAUUUUAGUUCUAGAUACAUUCAUUUUUAUUAAUUUUUGUGACAAGUAUUUCCAGAUGGAGGGAGUAUGUA